CGCAUGAAGCCGGAAUCGCUAGUAAUCGCAGAUCAGAAUGCUGCGGUGAAUACGUUCCCGGGUCUUGUACACACCGCCCGUCACACCAUGGGAGUCGAUAACGCCCGAAGUCAGUGACCCAACCGAGAGGAGGGAGCUGCCGAAGGCGGGAUGGAUAACUGGGGUGAAGUCGUAACAAGGUAGC
rnacentral:rRNA from 1 species